rnacentral:tRNA from 1 species
GAGGGUAUAGCUCAGUGGUAGAGUUCAUGCUUAGCAUGCAUGAGGUCCUGGGUUCAAUCCCCAGAACCUUCA